rnacentral:tRNA from 1 species
GGGCGAGUGGCGGAAUGGCAGACGCAAUAGAUUCAAAAUCUAUCGAGAGUAAUCUCAUGAGAGUUCGACUCUCUCCUCGCCCA